rnacentral:snRNA from 1 species
GGAUGUGAGGGCGAUCUGGCUGUGACAUGUCACUCCAUUGAUUGCCAAGGUCGAUUUGGCUAAUCUGACUUGUUAGGCAGGUGUCCCCUCCUCCCUCACUGCUCCAGCUGUGCCCCUCCCGAAACUGUGGGCUCGGGCAAAGAGGACAACCUUUCCAGUAGAGGAGGACUGUUCUUCAGUCAAAGGUAUGUGAGUAGCUACACUCCCUUGCUAGAACCUCCAAACAAGCUCUCAAGGUCCAUUUGUAGGAGAAUGUAGGGUAGUCAAGCUUCCAAGACUCCAGACACAUUCAAAUGAGGCACUGUAUGUGGCAGUCUGCCUUUCCUC